CAGUGAGACAUUCACAUAUAAACCAGGAGUGCUCCCACAGUCUUCUUACCCACCUUAUUCUUAGAUGGAGAUCGGUGACAUGAUUGAGAUAAACAGAGGUGCAUUCAAACACUGGCUCUGUUACAUUGGAAAUGGAGAGGUCAUCCAUGUGGUAACUCCAGAUGGGCCUUCAAGACUAGCUUCUUGCAGUGUUAGCUC